rnacentral:rRNA from 1 species
UCGGGAAUUUUGGGCAAUGGGCGAAAGCCUGACCCAGCAACGCCGCGCGAAGGAUGAAGUAUUUCGGUAUGUAAACUUCGAAAGAAUAGGAAGAAUAAAUGACGGUACUAUUUAUAAGGUCCGGCUAACUACGUGCCAGCAGCCGCGGUAAUACGUAGGGACCAAGCGUUGUUCGGAUUUACUGGGCGUAAAGGGCGCGUAGGCGGCAAUUCAAGUCAUCUGUGAAAUCUCCGGGCUUAACUCGGAACGGUCAGAUGAUACUGCUUUGCUAGAGUGCAGAAGGGGCAAUCGGAAUUCUUGGUGUAGCGGUGAAAUGCGUAGAUAUCAAGAGGAACACCUGAGGUGAAGACGGGUUGCUGGGCUGACACUGACGCUGAGGCGCGAAAGCCAGGGGAGCAAACGGGAUUAGAUACCCUUGUAGUCCCUGAGCGGGCUGGCAAGGCGCAU